UAUUUGGCAGGAUUUAGACACAAAGAAACUGGCUGUUUCCAGAUUCAUCCCCCCCUUCCACAGACCGACUUUGGAAUUCUGAUUGAAUUCACCUCAAGAUCGCUCUCACACUCCAUUUGGAGGGAAUUAGAAUCUGUCCCCUCAGCAGAAGCGUUCCAUGUCAUUUUCCAAAACACAGAAUCUCACCUUGGUUGUGUUGCCUAUGGAUUUCUAAUCCUGAAAGGUCAAUUUGCUUUUGUUUUUUUUUUUUUCUUUCAUAAUGGCUACUCUGUCCAAAAUCUUGCUUGUAUUGCAUCAGAAUACAAAAUUUGGGAAGGAAGAAGGCAAAACCAACUCAGACCCCGAAAACAUUUAGGAAAUUGCCACACAAGAAACCACAAAUCAGCUGAGGCACCCAAAACAAUGACAGCAAGCCAGAAGUGGAGCAAGCCAACAGCUGUGCCCUGAUUGAAAAAGAACCUUCCUCUUGUGCCCUGAACUCAAUAUGCCAGCCUCAAAACCAAAGCUCACAUCAGAAAAUUCAUUACAAACCAUGAUAAAUAAGAAAAAAGAGAAAAAAGCCAAAAAAAUGCAAGAAUCCAUAAUGAUAUAGGGCUUGAUUUAGUCGCUAGGAAACCGGCUGUUCCCGGAUUCAUCCACCCCUCCAGCUGACAGCCUGUGGAAUUCUGACUGAAUUAACCUGAAAAUCACAGUGAAACUCAGUUUGGAGGCAGUUAAUAUCUGUCACCUCAGCCAAAGUGUUCCAUUUUUUUUCCAAAACACAAAAACUCACCUUGGUCAUGUUCCCUAUAGAUUUCUAAGCUUCAAAUGCAUAUUUGUUAGGCUUUUUAUUUCAUAAUGGCUACUCUAUACAAACUCUUCUUUGCAUUGCAUCAGAAUACAAAAUUUGGGAAGGAAGAAGGCCAAGCCAACUCAGACCCUGAAAACAUUUGGGAAAUUGCCACACAAGAAACCACAAAUCGGCUGAGGCACUCAAAAGAAUGACAGCAAGCCAGAAGUGGAGCAAGCCAACAGCUGUGCCCUGAUUGAAAAAGAACCAUCCUCUUGUGCCAUGAACUCCAUAUUGCAGCCUCAAAACCAAAGCUCACAUCAGAAAAUUCAUUACAAACCAUGAUAAAUAAGAAAAAAGUGAAAAAGCCAAAGAAAUGCAAGAAUCCAUAAUGAUAUUGGGUUUGAUUUAGUUGCAAGGAAACUGGCUGUUCCCAGAUUCAUCCACCACUAAAGCUGACUGCCUGUGGAAUUCUGACUGAAUUAACCUGACAAUCCCAGUGAAACUCAAGAAACCAAAUUUCAGCUGAGGCACCCAAAACAAAGACAAUAGCCAGAAUUUGAGCACACCAACAGCUGUGCCCUGUUUGAAAAAGACCAUUCCUCCGAUGCCCUGAACUCUAUAUUGCAGUCUCAAAACCAAAGCUCACAUCAGAAAAUUCAUUACAAACCAUGAUAA
rnacentral:lncRNA from 1 species